UACGUAGGGGGCUAGCGUUGUCCGGAAUCAUUGGGCGUAAAGCGCGUGUAGGCGGCCCGGUAAGUCCGCUGUGAAAGUCGGGGGCUCAACCCUCGGAUGCUGGUGGAUACUGUCGGGCUCGAGUACGGAAGAGGCGAGUGGAAUUCCUGGUGUAGCGGUGAAAUGCGCAGAUAUCAGGAGGAACACCAAUUGCGAAGGCAGCUCGCUGGGACGUUACUGACGCUGAGACGCGAAAGCGUGGGAGCAAACAGG
rnacentral:rRNA from 1 species